GCCUGGUGAUGGAUGUAGCUUGGCACCAGGAACAAAGGAGAUUAGGUGGGCAGUUAAUGUUGUAGUUUAGCAUGACCCACUGAGCGUCUCAACUAAGGUAGUCAUCAUGGAUGGGAGAGGACCACUUAAGAGGCUAAAAUCCCCUAUUUAAUGAUGAGUAGAAGUCUGAAGAGUGGACACCCUUGACUUGAUCACGAUCUUUGGGAAAAGGGAAUACAGCAUGGCUUUGGCACAUGUAAGUUUCCAGAGAGCUUGCGACAUUUAGUGACAUGAGAAUUUAGCAGCAUGAUUGCUUCGUCUGGCAGAUGCCAAGUGUCC
ensembl:lncRNA